rnacentral:rRNA from 1 species
GACGAACGCUGGCGGCGUGCUUAACACAUGCAAGUCGAACGGAAAGGCCCUGCUUUUGUGGGGUGCUCGAGUGGCGAACGGGUGAGUAACACGUGAGUAACCUGCCCUUGACUUUGGGAUAACUUCAGGAAACUGGGGCUAAUACCGGAUAGGAGCUCCUGCUGCAUGGUGGGGGUUGGAAAGUUUCGGCGGUUGGGGAUGGACUCGCGGCCUAUCAGCUUGUUGGUGGGGUAGUGGCUUACCAAGGCUUUGACGGGUAGCCGGCCUGAGAGGGUGACCGGCCACAUUGGGACUGAGAUACGGCCCAGACUCCUACGGGAGGCAGCAGUGGGGAAUAUUGCACAAUGGGCGGAAGCCUGAUGCGGCAACGCCGCGUGCGGGAUGACGGCCUUCGGGUUGUAAACCGCUUUCGCCUGUGACGAAGCGUGAGUGACGGUAAUGGGUAAAGAAGCACCGGCUAACUACGUG